UGGCGGACGGGUGAGUAACGCGUGGGCAACCUGCCCUGUACCGGGGGAUAACACCUGGAAACAGGUGCUAAUACCGCAUAAGCGCGCAGUGCCGCAUGGCGCGGCGCGGAAAACCCCGGUGGUACAGGAUGGGCCCGCGUCUGAUUAGCUGGUUGGCAGGGUAACGGCCUACCAAGGCGACGAUCAGUAGCCGGCCUGAGAGGGUGGACGGCCACACUGGGACUGAGACACGGCCCAGACUCCUACGGGAGGCAGCAG
rnacentral:rRNA from 1 species